rnacentral:rRNA from 1 species
UACGUAGGUGGCGAGCGUUGUCCGGAAUUACUGGGUGUAAAGGGCGUGUAGGCGGGGAUGUAAGUCAGAUGUGAAAUUCCAGGGCUUAACUUUGGAGCUGCAUCUGAAACUAUGUUUCUUGAGUGCUGGAGAGGGAAGCGGAAUUCCUAGUGUAGCGGUGAAAUGCGUAGAUAUUAGGAGGAACACCAGUGGCGAAGGCGGCUUCCUGGACAGUAACUGACGCUGAGGCGCGAAAGCGUGGGGAGCAAACAGG